UACGAAGGGGGCUAGCGUUGCUCGGAAUGACUGGGCGUAAAGGGCGCGUAGGCGGCGGACACAGUCAGAUGUGAAAUUCCCGGGCUCAACCUGGGGGCUGCAUUUGAUACGUGUUUGCUUGAGUGGGGAAGAGGGUCGUGGAAUUCCCAGUGUAGAGGCGAAAUUCGUAGAUAUUGGGAAGAACACCGGUGGCGAAGGCGGCGACCUGGUCCUUGACUGACGCUGAGGCGCGAAAGCGUGGGGAGCAAACAGG
rnacentral:rRNA from 1 species